GAUGAACGCUAGCGGCAGGCUUAAUACAUGCAAGUCGAGGGGCAGCACAGGUAGCAAUACUGGGUGGCGACCGGCAAACGGGUGCGGAACACGUACACAACUUACCUUAGAGUGGGGGAUAGCCCAGGGAAACUUGGAUUAAUACCCCAUAAAACAGGGGGCCCGCAUGGGCAUAUUGUUAAAGAUUUAUCGCUUUAAGAUGGGUGUGCGUAUGAUUAGGUAGUUGGUAGGGUAAAGGCCUCCCAAGCCGACGAUCAUAAACUGGUGUGAGGGAACGACCAUUAACACGGGCACUGCAACCGGGGCCCGACUCCUACGGGAGGCAGCAGUAAGGAAUAUUGGUCAAUGGACGGAAGCCUGAACCAGCAAUGCCGGGUGAGGGUUAAAGGUCCUCUGGAUUUUAACUUCCUUUUAUAGGGGCGAAAAAGGGCCAUUCUUGGUCAACUGACGGUACCCUAUGAAUAAGCACCGGCUAACUCCGUGCCAGCCGCCGCGGUAACAC
rnacentral:rRNA from 1 species